rnacentral:misc_RNA from 1 species
GAUGAAGAACGUAGCGAAAUGCGAUAAGUAGUGUGAAUUGCAGAAUUCAGUGAAUCAUCGAAUCUUUGAACGCACAUUGCGCCCCUUGGUAUUCCAUGGGGCAUGCCUGUUCGAGCGUCAUCUGUACCUUCAAGCUUUGCUUGGUGUUGGGUGUUUGUCUCGCCUUUGCGUGUAGACUCGCCUUAAAAUAAUUGGCAGCCGGCGUAUUGAUUUCGGAGCGCAGUACAUCUCGCGCUUUGCACUCAUAACGACAGCGUCCAAAAGUACAUUUUACACUCUUGACCUCGGAUCAGGUAGGGAUACCCGCUGAACUUAAGCAUAUCAAUAAGCGGAGGA